rnacentral:rRNA from 1 species
UACGUAGGGUGCAAGCGUUGUCCGGAAUUAUUGGGCGUAAAGAGCUCGUAGGCGGUUUGUCACGUCGGCUGUGAAAACCCGAGGCUCAACCUCGGGCCUGCAGUCGAUACGGGCAGACUAGAGUAUGGCAGGGGAGACUGGAAUUCCUGGUGUAGCGGUGAAAUGCGCAGAUAUCAGGAGGAACACCGGUGGCGAAGGCGGGUCUCUGGGCCAUAACUGACGCUGGAGGAGCGAAAGCGUGGGGAGCGAACAGG